rnacentral:lncRNA from 1 species
AACCUAUGUGGCGUGGGCUUGGUAGAAAAUGAACAUCUCUCUGUGGUUUUGCACAAAGUGCUAAGGCGUCCCUCCAAACAGUUGUGUGGCAGGAGCCGUCAGCAUCUACCUGCACAGCUGCGGCCCAGUGGCGACGGGAAGGCCAUUUACAGGUGUCCCUGGGCAGGAGCGCCAGACUCCCAGGACCUUCCCCGAGCAGACUUCGCUGCUCGCCAGCCCCACUCUGGGAAGCCGGCGGCCGGGACUUGCGGUGGCCGCACAGGAAGGGCGGAGGCCCUACGCGCGGUCCGACCCCGUCGCUCCGUCCCAGCCCAGACCCCAGCCCCGGGCGGCCCCGAGCCCCGCCCGCCGGCUCGCCCCGCCGGCCGCGCGCCUGCGCACCGGCCCCGGGUUAGCAGAGGUGGAGCGCCGGGAGGGAGGCAGGCGGACGGACGCCGUGACGGCGCGAGCGUGGUCACGUGCCUGCCGGUCACCGCCGCCACCUCCCGCCCUUCAGGUUCCACGAGAGCCCGGCAGACUGAGGGGGAGACACACAGAGAGCGAGAGAGUGAGAAACAGAGAGAGAGAGAGGAAGGAGGGGAGGAGGAUCAGGGAGUAGGAGCUGGGGAGCCCUGCCGCGCACAGCAGAAGUCUACAAACAUUGCUGGACAGAGUACUUACUGUUCAAGACAAAUACUGAUGUGCAGAUAAUCACUGGUAAUCAAUCACUCUUGGU